CCCUACGGGAGGCAGCAGUGGGGGAUAUUGCACAAUGGGGGGAACCCUGAUGCAGCGACGCCGCGUGGGUGAAGAAGCGCCUCGGCGCGUAAAGCCCUGUCAGCAGGGAAGAAAAUGACGGUACCUGAAGAAGAAGCCCCGGCUAACUACGUGUCAGCAGCCGCGGUAAUACGUAGGGGGCAAGCGUUAUCCGGAUUUACUGGGUGUAAAGGGGGCGCAGACGGCGAUGCAAGCCAGGAGUGAAAGCCCGGGGCCCAACCCCGGGACUGCUCUUGGAACUGCGUGGCUGGAGGGCAGGAGGGGCA
rnacentral:rRNA from 1 species